rnacentral:rRNA from 1 species
UGAAACGCUGGCGGCGUGCCUAACACAUGCAAGUCGAGCGAUUUACUUCGGUAGUGAGCGGCGGACGGGUGAGUAACACGUGGGCAACCUGCCCUGAAGUGGGGGAUAACAUCUGGAAACAGGUGCUAAUACCGCAUAACAACGAAAACCACAUGGUUUUCGUUUCAAAGAUGGUUUCGGCUAUCACUUCAGGAUGGGCCCGCGGUGCAUUAGCUAGUUGGUAAGGUAACGGCUUACCAAGGCAACGAUGCAUAGCCGAGUUGAGAGACUGAUCGGCCACAAUGGAACUGAGACACGGUCCAUACUCCUACGGGAGGCAGCAGUAGGGAAUCUUCCACAAUGGGCGCAAGCCUGAUGGAGCAACACCGCGUGAGUGAAGAAGGGUUUCGGCUCGUAAAGCUCUGUUGUUGGAGAAGAACGUGCGUGAGAGUAACUGUUCACGCAGUGACGGUAUCCAACCAGAAAGUCACGGCUAACUACGUGCC